rnacentral:rRNA from 1 species
GACGAACGCUGGCGGCGUGCCUAAUACAUGCAAGUCGAACGCUGAAGGAGGAGCUUGCUUCUCUGGAUGAGUUGCGAACGGGUGAGUAACGCGUAGGUAACCUGCCCGGUAGCGGGGGAUAACUAUUGGAAACGAUAGCUAAUACCGCAUAACAGUACAUAUCGCAUGAUAUCUACUUGAAAGGUGCAAUUGCAUCACUACCAGACGGACCUGCGUUGUAUUAGCUAGUUGGUGAGGUAUCGGCUCACCAUGGCGACGAUACAUAGCCGACCUGUGAGGGUGAUCAGCCGCACUGGGAGUGUGACACGCCCCAUACUCCUUGAGGAGCCAGCAGUAGGGAGUCUUCGGGAAUGGACGGAAGACUGACCGAGCAGCGCCGCGUUAGUGAGGAAGGUAUCCGGAUCGUAAAGGACGGUUGUAGGAGAAGAACGAGUUUGAGAGUGGAAAGUUCACACAGUGACGGUAGCUUGCCAGAGAGGGACGGCUAACUACGUG